GAUUGCGUAUCUAAUUUAAGUGCUGGGUUCUUACCUCAGUGAUGUGUUUACACCGUAAUCU
rnacentral:tRNA from 1 species